UACGUAGGGGUGCAAGCGUUGUCCGGAAUUAUUGGGCGUAAAGAGCUCGUAGGUGGUUUUGUCGCGUUGUUCGUGAAAAACCGGAGGCUCAACCUCUGGCGUGCGGGCGAUACGGGCAGACUUGAGUACUGCAGGGGGAGACUGGAAUUCCUGGUGUAGCGGUGGAAUGCGCAGAUAUCAGGAGGAACACCGGUGGCGAAGGCGGGGUCUCUGGGCAGUAACUGACGCUGAGGAGCGAAAAGCGUGGGGGAGCGAACAGG
rnacentral:rRNA from 1 species